rnacentral:rRNA from 1 species
ACAGCAGUAGCCGCGGGAAUACGUAGGUGGCGAGCGUUGUCCGGAAUUAUUGGGCGUAAAGGGAGCGCAGGCGGGCGAGUAAGUCUUUCUUAAAAGUGCGGGGCUCAACCCCGUGAGGGGAGAGAAACUACUCAUCUUGAGUGCAGGAGAGGAAAGCGGAAUUCCUAGUGUAGCGGUGAAAUGCGUAGAUAUUAGGAAGAACACCAGUGGCGAAGGCGGCUUUCUGGACUGUAACUGACGCUGAGGCUCGAAAGCCAGGGGAGCGAACGGGAUUAGAUACCCCCGUAGUCCCUGUCUCUUAUACA